rnacentral:rRNA from 1 species
UCAGUUCGGAUCGCAGGCUGCAACCCGCCUGCGUGAAGUCGGAAUCGCUAGUAAUCGCGGAUCAGCAUGCCGCGGUGAAUACGUUCCCGGGCCUUGUACACACCGCCCGUCACACCAUGAGAGUCGGGAACACCCGAAGUCCGUAGCCUGACCGCGAAGGGGGGCGCGGCCGAAGGUGGGUUCGAUAAUUGGGGUGAAGUCGUAACAAGGUAUC